GUAAAUUUGCUUAUACAGAAUGACCCGUUACAGAAUAAUCUAUCAUAUUACAUCUGAAUUGACUGGUUCAUUAUAUUUUGUAUCAAUUAAUUAACAUGAAUCUGAGAAGUAACUAGUAACUGAAGUUGUCAGAUAAAUGUAGUGGAGUAAAAAGAACAACAUUUCUCUCUGAGAUGUUGUGCAGUAGAAGUACAAAGAGGCAUCAAAUACAAAAAACUCAAGUACAGUAAAAGAUAUGUCAAAAUCAUACUUAAGUGCCAUACUUGAGUAAAUCUACUUAGUGACAUUUCAUAAGCAAAACCAUUAAUUAUAAAAGGUUGGGCCUAACCCACUGUAGCCUACACACAGAGUGGAUAUGUAACAGUAAGAAUAGCAAGCAAGAGCUGGCUCAGCACAUUCCGUGCACCAUGAGUCAACUUUUGUGGCUCCACCUCCAAUUCUCCAUCAUUACUAUUGCAGAUGCUCUUGCACUGUAAUGGAAAAAAUUAUCUGAAACAACUCUGUUUCACUAAAGCUAGACCCAUGACGGAAAAUAGAUGCCAAGUGAAAAGGUGGGGUCAUCAAACAUCAAAGGAAGUUGGCAAGUUGUUCCCUCUUAUGUGUGGGAGUUGUAGUGGCAGAGCAGAAAACAAAAACCAGCCUUGACUGGAGUGAGAGACCACAGACCCAUCUCACCUCAGGAUGACAGGGUGGUCAGUUUUUCAGAGGUGGUGUAGGGGCCACAAUGGAGCGAAGGUUUGACCUCAGCUUGAAGGAUCUGAAUUCGUCCUCCACAUGUGAAGAGCUGACUGAAGACAAGAGGAGCUGAUGCAGAAAUGAAUGGAGUGAUGUGAUGUCAUUACCCCUGCUACACCUUUUCCUGGGGCAUACAAUGGUUGGUCCGCGGUCCUUCAGCUGUCCCCACAUAAAGCCCCUCCUCAUGGCAUGUGCGUCGCCGUCUCUGCGCCAGGCGUUUUCAUGGUCUGCUUCUCUUUCUUUUCCCUCGGGAGGUUCACACGAGAGACUGUCCUGUGCAUGUUUGAGACUGGUUUUGCGGAGUGUAUGCCCAAACUUCCACGAUGUUGACGUGUUGUAUUUUCUUGUAUUUUAAUCUUAAUAGAUGUUUACAACAAAUGCUUACACCACUUAUUAAUUUUGGGCUGCCUUUGUGAGGCUAAUGUGAAAGUCAUUGGUGCAUCAGUCAGAAAACAUCAUCGUCAUUUUCAUUUAAAGUUCAGAUUAAAAUACAGAUUAUAUCAAACAA